GACGAACGCUGGCGGCGUGCUUAACACAUGCAAGUCGAACGGAAAGGCUCCAGCUUGCUGGAGUACUCGAGUGGCGAACGGGUGAGUAACACGUGGGUGAUCUGCCCUGCACUUCGGGAUAAGCCUUGGAAACUGGGUCUAAUACCGGAUAGGACCGCCCUCUGGUUUGUGUGGUGUAAAGGUUUUUCUGGUGUGGGGUGAGCUCGCGGCCUAUUCGUUUGUUGGGGGGGUAAUGGCCUACCAAUACGGCUACGGGGAGCCGGGCUGGGGGGGUGGACGGGCAAAAUUGGGCUGAGAUACGGCCCAGAAUCCUACGGGAGGGAAGAGGGGGGAAAAAUGCACAAAGGGGGAAACCCUGAAGGAGCGAAGGCGCGGGGGGGAUGAAGGGCUUCGGGUUGGAAACUCCUUUCGGUAGGGACGAAGCUUUUUGUGACGGUACCUGGAGAAGAAGCACCGGCUAACUACGUG
rnacentral:rRNA from 1 species